rnacentral:lncRNA from 1 species
AGGCAUAACUCACUACACCACUGCUCCACACACCCCACAACAAAAUGGUGUCUCAGAACGUCAUCUAGUUGAAACGGGUCUUACACUUCUUUAUGAUGCAAAUCUUAAUUUGUCAUAUUGGCCUUAUGCUUUUCAAACAGCGUCUUACUCCAUAAACAGACAACCCACUAGUCUUCUCCGAGGAAAAUCACCUUUCGAAGUCCUUUUUGGUCAAACACCCAAUUACUUGAAAUUAAAAAAUUUUGGUUGUAUCUGCUAUCCUCUCACAUGGUCUUAUAACUCAAAUAGAAUGCAGCCUAUGUCCAAAGUCUACAGUUUUCUCGGUUAUUCACCAACUCAAAAUGCAUACAAAUGUUUUGAACCUCAAACAAAGAAAUUCUUCAUCUCAUGACACGUGUUAUUUGAUGAAAAUCAACAUCACUCCAGUCUGUCCCACCCUGAGCCUUCCAUGACAACCCUGAACACUCAAGAAUCUCACAAAUUUCUUUCCCUCUUUUUUGAUGCUUAGCAAGCUAUCGUGCCUCCAUCAAUGUCGUUUGGUGAGCCACCCUCAUCGCCACCUCCAGAAGGGUCUCCUGCCAUUGUUACGCUCUCUUUAGGUCAAUUUCAUAAUCUCACAAAUCCCAUUUUUCCAUACCCAACCGAACCAAAUAAUCCUUCCCAACGCACUCAUAACAUGACCACAAGAUCAAUGAACCAAAAUUUCAAGCCUAAACAAAUCCACACUGUGUCCAAACAUCCUCUUCCCCAGACCAUUGAAGCAACGAGUCUGAGUCAAGCCAUUUCUUAACCUCAUUGGUGUGAGGCCAUGUCCAAUGAGGUCACCGCUCUAAUUAAACGUGGGACCUGGGACCUAGUUUUACCACCUUCAAAUUGUAAACCCAUGGGUUGUAAGUGGGUAUUCAGAGUGAAAAGGAAAGCUGAUGGGUCAGUUAACAGAUUCAAAGACCGUCUAGUUGCUAAAGGCUAUAAUCAAUGACUUGGUGUUGAUUAUAAAGAAACCUUUAGCCCUGUACUUAAACUAGCAACUAUCAGAGUUGUUCUAUUUAUUACAGUUAUGAAUGGAUGGGAUUUGAGGCAAAUGGAUGUCAACAAUGCCUUUCUAAAUGGUGAAUUAACUGAGACUGUGUUUUUGACAAAUCUCCAGGGUUUAAAGAUUUGUCCAAACCUAAUCAUGUUUAUUGAUUAAAAAAGGCCAUCUAUGAGCUUAAACAAGCGCCACGGGCUUGGUACACAGCACUAAAAAUGCCAUUCUUCAGUUGGGUUUUUACAAUUCUAAAGUAGAUCCCUCUCUCUUCAUUUACAACCAAGGUUUUAAUCUCUGUUAUUUUCUACUUUAUGUUGAUGAUCUUGUCAUUACUAGAAACAAUUUCACACUUGUAGCCACCAUUAUUAAACAGCUGGGUGACGUGUUCUCUCUCAAGGAUAUGGGUUCUUUUCAUUUUUUCUUGGGAAUUGAAGUAAUUCCUACCCAAGCAGGAUUAUUCCUCUCACAACAUAAAUAUGUUCGUGAACUUUUAGCCCACACAAGUAUGAGUUGUGCAAAAGAUGUCUCAACACCUCUCUCUACCACUCAAUCCCUUCAAUUAGUUGAUGGCAUUGCUACUGUGGACAGUUCUGAGUUCAAUAGAAUUAUUGGCAGCCUUCAAUACCUCUCCUUGACGAGUCCAUACAUCUCAUUUGCAGUCAACAAACUCUCUCAAUUUAUGCACAAGUCGACUACAAAUCACUGGAUAGCAACUAAGAGACUCCUCCUCUACUUAAAACAAACCAUUUUCUAUGGUAUUCAAAUCAACAAAGUUGGCUCCCCGGUAUUAUGAACUUAUUCCGAUGCCGAUUGGGUUGGAAAUGUGGAUGACCGCACAUCAACCUUUGCUUAUAUCAAUUUUUUGGAAUCUAACCCCAUUUCUUGGAGCUCAAAGAAGCAAAUAGCCGUAGCGCGAUCCUCAAUAGAGGUUGAAUACCGAGCUCUAGGAAAUGCAGCUUCCAAGAUAAUGUGGCUAUCCACUCUUUUAAAAAAAAACUCGCAUUUCCAGUCAAAGAAUCUCCUUAACUAUUGUGUGACAAUCUCGGAGCUACACAUCUCAGUUUUAACCUGGUCGAUCAUUCAUGCAUGAAACACAUUCAAACUGAUCUUCACUUUGUGCAUGACUUAGUGCAAAAAUGAAGCAUCCAAGUUAGACAUGUACAUAUUCACAACCAACUUGAUGAUCUGUUGACAAAGUCGUUGUCAAAACAGCGCACAGAAUUGCUAUGCAAAAAGAUUGGUCUUGUCGAUGGAAGCUCAAUCUUGUAGGGGCGUAUAAGGGAAUCGUGCGUGGAUCCUGCUCCAACCAAAGCAGAGCAUGUCUAGCUUGAAAUCAUGUCCAAUAAUCUGCCAUUUAA